CAAGCAACAUAUUGAUUCAAGACAUUUAACAAUAAUUUCAUAUUCAUAAACUGCUUCUUGCAACUCUCAAGUGCUAAAAACUACUUAAUUGAUAUUAACAAAACAUGGAAUUCUUACCUAUAAAGAGAUCAAAAAAUUGUGUUUAUUACAUACAAGAGAAAAAAUAUGGCUCAAAUUUUCAUGAUUAUUUAUAUUUUGAUCAUUUUUCUUUCUCUAUUAUUUAUUAUGAAAAUUAGUGGAGAUGAUAUUCCCUGCACUAGUGAUUCGGAAUGUCCAGAGGUGUUAAAUUAUUUCUCUCAGUGUUAUCAAGGAAUUUGUCGGUACUAUUGAGCAUAUUACUUAAGUUUAAAAAUAAGGGUUAAAUAAGUUUUUGGUACCUAUAACUAUUGCAGAGUUUUAAAAAAUGGUCGUCGCGUUGCGAUACUGUAAUUUUUUUGUGAUUUUGGUUGGUAUAGGUGUCGCCAUUGUGGUCGUUAUACUGCGAAUUAAUUACAAUUUAUUCUUUAAUAUAAAAAUGAUGAUAACGGUAUCAAUAAUGACACCUGUCAAAACCGUUUAGUCGCGGUCUAUUUAGCGGUUGCCGAUAUUUUUUAAAACUCAAUGUAUAGUUUCAUUUGUAUGUUAACAAUGUUUGUACAUUUAUAAAUUAGUUUAGAAUUUAAUUUA